rnacentral:lncRNA from 1 species
UGUUUUUCCAAAUUUAUUUGUAAGUUUGAAAACUAUAAAAUGUCAGAUGUAUGAUUUUCAUGUUAAUUCAUUCCACACGUGCAUACAUGCAUGGGUACAUGUGGACACACAUAUUCACACACAACUGGAAUCAAUGUCUUAGCAUAAUGUCUAUUCCAACUCUGGUUAAGCAAUCAGAUAUUUGUUCAUUCCAUGUCAUAAUUUGUUAGCUGUGAGUCACUCUUCUGGCUUCAUGAUUGUCUCUAAUGGUGUGAAGGCAAAGCAAAACAACCACUUGUACAGUCUCAGGAGAUUCCACAGGAUAUUAUAGUUCCAAUGGAGAGAGCACACUGGCCACAGAAUUCUCUUCUUUUCAAUUUAUUUUUUAUUUUUAUUUAUAUGUAUGUAUUCGUGCAUGUCACGUGUGUACAGAUGUCCAUGGAGAAGACCAGCUGGGACACCCAGCCUCGUGGGACCAAGCAGCUACUAGAUUCUUGGACUUCCCUUCACAACUAGCCAUUGUUGGACUGCAGCCUGGUAUGCUGGACCUGCAACUCCUUUGCCUGCUACAUGAUGACUGCUCAGUCUCCACAGAGAAGAGAGUGAUUUCCUCUUUGUCCCUGCUUAUAUACUGAUUAUGCCCAGAUAUGCCACUUCCUGUUUAUCAGUACAGACCUCCUGACUUCUAUGAUUAGCUAGUGGCAAGUUUCUGCCCAGCUAUGUCACUUCCUAUCUGGCUAAUUAGCCAACCAGUGUUUUAUUCAUUAACCAAUAAGAGAAACAUAUACAGAGAAGAAUGUUACACAUAACACACCCAUGAGUACACAUGACCUGGUACACAAACACAUA